CUUUAAAGCCAUUAAUAAUGUAAAGUAAACGUACUAUCCUUUCUCUUCAUCAGGGCUUUUUUGUUUUGUUGACUGGGUUCAUGGCAGAACAGAAGGUCAAAGACGAGCUCUAUAAGAUUGUGUGUGGCAAAGGGGACUCAAGUGACAGCACCAAGAAUCUCACCUCCACCAUGUACACAAAGGACAAGUGAUGUCAGACUGAGAAGGAGCAGAAGAGAAGGAGCAAAACACCAGUGACCCCAGCAGAGAUUCUAGCAGAAACAAAAAGUAGUAAAGUUGUGGUUCCCAAACUGAGGUGUGUGUACCACCAUGCAAAUCUUUGGACUGCACACAUAACAAUUUAACAUUAUAUUGUAAAGAAAAA
ensembl:lncRNA